CCUACGGGAGGCUGCAGUGGGGAAUAUUGGACAAUGGGCGAAAGCCUGAUCCAGCAAUACCGCGUGUGUGAAGAAGGCCUGAGGGUUGUAAAGCACUUUCAAUGGGAAGGAAUACCUACCGGCUAAUACCCGGUAGACUGACAUUACCCAUACAAGAAGCACCGGCUAACUCCGUGCCAGCAGCCGCGGUAAUACGGAGGGUGCAAGCGUUAAUCGGAAGUGUGGGUCGUAAGCCUUGCCAGUGCGAUUUGAAAGCCCUGGGCUUAACCUGGGAACUGCAUUUGAUACUGGCAGGCUAGAGUUUAGUAGAGGGGAGUGGAAUUUCAGGUGUAGCGGUGAAAUGCGUAGAGAUCUGAAGGAACACCAGUGGCGAAGGCGGCUCCCUGGACUAAAACUGACGCUGAGGUACGAAAGCGUGGGUAGCAAACAGGAUUAGAUACCCGGGUAGUC
rnacentral:rRNA from 1 species